GUGGGGGAUAUUGCACGAUGGAGGAAACUCUGAUGCAGCGACGCCGCGUGAGUGAAGAAGUAUUUCGGUAUGUAAAGCUCUAUCAGCAGGGAAGAUAAUGACAGUACCUGACUAAGAAGCCCCGGCUAACUACGUGCCAGCAGCCGCGGUAAUACGUAGGGGGCAAGCGUUAGCCGGAUUUACUGGGUGUAAAGGGAGCGUAGACGGAAUGGCAAGUCUUAAGUGAAAUCCUGCGGCUUAACUGCAGAAUUGCUUUGGAAACUGUCAAUCUGGAGUGUUGGAGAGGUAAGCGGAAUUCCUGGUGUAGCGGUGAAAUUCGUAGAUAUCAGGAAGAACACCGGAGGCGAAGGCGGCUUACUGGACAAUAACUGACGUUGAGGCUCGAAAGCGUGGGAAGCAAACAGGAUUAGAUACCCUUGUAGUCC
rnacentral:rRNA from 1 species